UCAGUUGGUGUGAUGUGUUACAAUACAGAAGGGACCGAGGCAGAUAUAACAGGUAGAGAGGUUUAUUGAUACCAGCACGAGACAAACAGUAGUGCAGGUGAAUAAUAAGUGAUGAAAUGGAUGAAGUAGAGAGUGCAGAGAAGUGAUACUGUCCUUGUUGAUUGUAGACACGGGUUGAUUCGGAAGACGCUGGAGAAACGUGACACUGGAGACCAGGAACACUCACACACAGAUGGGAUUCACACGAGGAGAACAGGAGACGCUGGAGACAGGCAAGUAGUUCGGUAGGAGUCCUUGAGGUAAGCAUUCAGGUAAGACGUAAUGCAAACGAGACCGGACAAUGUGGCUGUGUGUGUGAGUGCUCUUUAUGCUGGUGGUGAUUGCGGUGAUAAUGAGGUGCAGGUGCGGGUGAUCAGUACUCUGGAGAGUCAGUGAUUGUGAUUGGUGAGCGGUGGAGCUUGGCGUGUCUGUGACAGAUGUAACCUGACUAGUUGUGGAAAAAUUUCAAAUUUCAGUUUUAGCCAGAAUUAUUUUGUCAUGCAGAGGGAUCUGUGGAGCCAGUCAGCGGUCUGCUGCACGUGAAACUGCCAGAAGAGCAGGCAAACUGGAUGAAGAGGGCCUUGAGGUGGUUGUUUGCAGACACAGAGAGCUACUCAAGGCUCUUAACAUGAACAGGGGGAAAUAUUUGCCUAUCCACUGUUCCUGCAGAAGGAGCUCCAAGCAGCCACAAACGGACAGCUCUACUGCACAGAUAUUGCUUGCAAGUAUCGGCCCUACCUUGAGAAGCUGUCAGUCUCCAUGUUGAACUCAGACCUUUACUGCAGAUGAGAUCGUUCCUUUCUGUCAUGCCAAGACUCAUUCAACCAAGUGUGAGGUGCUGCAUAUUCUUCAUCAUUUGAAAUUGUAUCUUUAUUACUUAAAUAAUACACUGUAUAUGAUUAUAAUAUAAGUGCCACACUGAUUUGUUAGAUAAUCUGGAGUGGCAAAAAUCAGGAAGGUGCUGCACAACUGCAGGGGAGGAGGUCGAGAUGAUAAACAGUUACCUGUCUCGUUGUGCCCUCACAACCAAGAACAUGACAAAAUCUGACUUUCAAAAAGGCUGAGGCUGAGUCUCAGAGACUGGAGGAUUUGAGCAGUGAACUGGGGUGUCCUGAGAACAGAUUCUGUAGGUACCAGAUGUGAUGACCA